UUGCUGGGUACUCGAGUGGCGAACGGGAGAAAAACGCGGGGGUGAUCUGCCCUGCACUCUGGGAUAAGCCUGGGAAACUGGGUCUAAUACCGGAUAUGACCAUGGGAUGCAUGUUCUGUGGUGGAAAGCUUUUGCGGUGUGGGAUGGGCCCGCGGCCUAUCAGCUUGUUGGUGGGGUAAUGGCCUACCAAGGGGACGACGGGUAGCCGACCUGAGAGGGUGAUCGGCCACACUGGGACUGAGACACGGCCCAGACUCCUACGGGAGGCAGCAGUGGGGAAUAUUGCACAAUGGGCGCAAGCCUGAUGCAGCGACGCCGCGUGAGGGAUGACGGCCUUCGGGUUGUAAACCUCUUUCACCAGGGACGAAGCGUGAGUGACGGUACCUGGAGAAGAAGCACCGGCCAACUACGUGCCAGCAGCCGCGGUAAUACGUAGGGUGCGAGCGUUGUCCGGAAUUACUGGGCGUAAAGAGCUCGUAGGCGGUUUGUCGCGUCGUCUGUGAAAUUCUGCAACUCAAUUGUAGGCGUGCAGGCGAUACGGGCAGACUUGAGUACUACAGGGGAGACUGGAAUUCCUGGUGUAGCGGUGAAAUGCGCAGAUAUCAGGAGGAACACCGGUGGCGAAGGCGGGUCUCUGGGUAGUAACUGACGCUGAGGAGCGAAAGCGUGGGUAGCGAACAGGAUUAGAUACCCUGGGUAGUCCACGCCGUAAAACGGUGGGUACUA
rnacentral:rRNA from 1 species